CGGGACUGUAGCUGCCAUAUUGAGUGUUAUGGUUUCUCCUUUAACACACAGGGUUUAUUUUGCAAUUCUGGGCAACUGACUACUAUUUGUUCAUCACUGAUACAUGCAGUCCUGUACCAGAGUUACUAUGUUGUCCACUGGAGCCAGAAAGUGAUGAAACAGAAGGAUAUCUGUUCCUUCAGUGCAAGUAAGAAAGAACAACUGGAGGAUACCGUUUCUGUGAGGACGUCUGAGAAGAACGAUUUGGGGAAGAAGCUGUUAACUGCAGCUUUGAUGAAUGCCAAGGAGCAACAAAGAAAGCUGUUCACCACUGUCUAGCUAAUUGGCAGGUUUUUAAAAUUUAUCACCAGCCAAACAGCUCAAAGCUAAGAGUGUCCUGAAAAAUGAAUACAGAAAUUAUCUGAGAAUGUUUACCAUCAACAUGCAGAAUAAAAUAAAGAGGAGGAAAAUUACUGUUUUCUGA
ensembl:lncRNA